UGGGGAAUCUUGGACAAUGGGCGCAAGCCUGAUCCAGCCAUGCCGCGUGAGUGAUGAAGGCCUUAGGGUUGUAAAGCUCUUUUGCCGGGGACGAUAAUGACGGUACCCGGAGAAUAAGUCCCGGCUAACUUCGUGCCAGCAGCCGCGGUAAUACGAAGGGGACUAGCGUUGUUCGGAAUCACUGGGCGUAAAGCGCACGUAGGCGGAUUUGUAAGUCAGGGGUGAAAUCCCGGGGCUCAACCUCGGAACUGCCUUUGAUACUGCGGAUCUCGAGUCCGAUAGAGGUGAGUGGAAUUCCUAGUGUAGAGGUGAAAUUCGUAGAUAUUAGGAAGAACACCGGUGGCGAAGGCGGCUCACUGGAUCGGUACUGACGCUGAGGUGCGAAAGCGUGGGGAGCAAACAGGAUUAGAUACCCCCGUAGUCCCUGAGCGGGCUGGCAAGGCGCAU
rnacentral:rRNA from 1 species